GUGCUUAACACAUGCAAGUCGAACGAUGAAGCCCAGCUUGCUGGGUGGAUUAGUGGCGAACGGGUGAGUAACACGUGAGUAACCUGCCCUUUCCUCUGGGAUAACUCCGGGAAACCGGUGCUAAUACUGGAUAUGACUCUUGCCUGCAUGGGUGGGGGUGGAAAGAUUUAUCGGGAUUGGAUGGACUCGCGGCCUAUCAGCUUGUUGGUGGGGUAAUGGCCUACCAAGGCGACGACGGGUAGCCGGCCUGAGAGGGUGACCGGCCACACUGGGACUGAGACACGGCCCAGACUCCUACGGGAGGCAGCAGUGGGGAAUAUUGCACAAUGGGCGAAAGCCUGAUGCAGCGACGCCGCGUGAGGGAUGACGGCCUUCGGGUUGUAAACCUCUUUCAGCUCUGACGAAGCUUUUGUGACGGUAGGAGCAGAAGAAGCACCGGCUAACUACGUGCCAGCAGCCGCGGUAAUACGUAGGGUGCGAGCGUUGUCCGGAAUUAUUGGGCGUAAAGAGCUUGUAGGCGGCUUGUCGCGUCUGCUGUGAAAUCCCGGGGCUUAACUCCGGGCUUGCAGUGGGUACGGGCAGGCUAGAGUAUGGUAGGGGAGACUGGAAUUCCUGGUGUAGCGGUGGAAUGCGCAGAUAUCAGGAGGAACACCGAUGGCGAAGGCAGGUCUCUAGGCCAUUACUGACGCUGAGAAGCGAAAGCGUGGGGAGCGAACAGGAUUAGAUACCCUGGUAGUCCACGCCGUAAACGUUGGGCGCUAGGUGUGGGUCCCAUUCCACGGGGUCCGUGCCGCAGCUAACGCAUUAAGCGCCCCGCCUGGGGAGUACGGCCGCAAGGCUAAAACUCAAAGGAAUUGACGG
rnacentral:rRNA from 1 species